rnacentral:rRNA from 1 species
GGUUGAUCCUGCCAGUAGUCAUAUGCUUGUCUCAAAGAUUAAGCCAUGCAUGUCUAAGUAUAAGCUCGAUUUAUACGGUGAGACUGCGGAUGGCUCAUUAAAUCAGUUAUAGUUUAUUUGAUGGUCUCUUUUUUUUUUUACCUACUUGGAUAACCGUGGUAAUUCUAGAGCUAAUACAUGCGCAAAGUCCUGCAACGGGCAGUUGCGUCGGCGGGGCAACUCGUCGGCGUAGCUCCUGAGAGGGAUGUAUUUAUUAGAUACCCGAAACCAGCGCAGGGCAUCCCAAACUGCU